GCAUCAGUUUUUAAUGUCCCCACAAACAUUAGAAAAAUGUAUCUUCAACCUACAGGCCUGCUGUUAGGAAAUCCUCUGCUGUUCUUCAAUCAUGGUGUUUUAAUAGAUCAUACAAGCAAGUACGUAUUUUAAAUUAAUAUUUUAUUGGUUGUACAUUGCAUAGGGCUUAUUAAAGAUGUCUAUGUGAAAACAAGAUUCAUCAUAUGGGGUGGGG